UCAAAAAUUCCGGAACGGUUUCUGACGCUCAGAGGCAACCGAUCUACUGGAAAUUUAUUCGGAAGAAAUAAAGUACAAGGAAUGCAGAAAGAAAUUUUUAAAACGGAUGGGAGGGCCCCAAAUCAAUAUCCCGAGAAUCUCUUCAUGCCUAACAUGGCGAUCCGAGGCCAAUAUUGAGAUUCACCGUCGGAAAAGACAAUUAUUUUGUUACGAGUCUACGGAAAGCCAAAAGCUAAUAGUUUCGACGUCGGUGUAGAAGUUAGACUUUGCAGUGAAAGAUGAAUCGCCUAGUAAAGGUCAACAACUGGAAACCUCGAAACGUAUCCCAAGGAUAAUAGGUGCGUU